rnacentral:rRNA from 1 species
GGAUUAGAUACCCUGGUAGUCCACGCGGUAAACGAUGAGCACUAGACGUUGGGGGGGACUACCCCUCGGUGUCGCAGCUAACGCGAGAAGUGCUCCGCCUGGGGAGUACGGCCGCAAGGUUGAAACUCAAAGGAAUUGACGGGGGCCCGCACAAGCGGUGGAGCAUGUGGUUUAAUUCGAUGCAACGCGAAGAACCUUACCUGCCCUUGACAGCCGGGGAACCUUGCCGAGAGGUGAGGGUGCCUUCGGGAACCUCGGUACAGGUGCUGCAUGGCUGUCGUCAGCUCGUGCCG